UGCCGAGAAGACAGACAACAGUUAUGGUGCCUAUGAUUCUGAUGUCAUUGGACUCAUCUACUAUCAGAGUAUCACUCUCCUGAAAGAAGUGAGAAAUGUUAAUAGAACCAGUAUUUCUCUGCCUAACUUGUGGGAUCAAGUAACAAGCGAACUCAUUUACUCGCCUUCCAAGGAGUGGCUGAAACGUAAGGGGUGUUAUAAAGAAGGCAUUAAACUGAAGGCAUCCACUGAUGUGCAUCAGUGUUUCAAAUGAGAGGAAGAGGUGUCUCCGUGCUCAGUUUGUUGAAGGAUGUCCGACCUGGAAUGCUCUGAAUAGGAAAGACCAGCUGAAAGAAUGGCUUAGUCUUCAUCUCUCCUGGGGCUAAAGAUGAUGAGCUCAUCAAGUCUCCAUAACAAGUGUGGAGAACAGCCAAGAGGAAGAAAGAACAGGCUCUGCAGACUGAAGUGAUUUGUCCAAGGUCACCAAGGAGGACGGUGGGACAGGCAGGCCCAGACUCCAGCCCUGCUAAUGGCGCCUCGUUUGUUCCAGGGCUGUGGGCAGUGGCUCCCACACCAGGGCCACAACUCACAGAAGGGCACAGCAGGUUGCCAGUGUAACAAAAAUCCCAUUACCUCUGACAUUCACCUUCCUGUUUUGAAAGGCAUAAGAUUAUCCUCCUGUAAACUGAAUACUUGAAAAAGUUGGGAAAUGACCAAGCUAGAUGAUUCUCUUUUCUCUUCCCUAACAGUCCCAAAAAAACCCGUGAUGCAAUUGUCCAUUUUAUUCUGUGAUGUCAUCUGUCUUAUUUUUAACCUUCUCUAAGUGAAAGCCUUAAAAAAACCUAAACAAAAUUAUUUAAUUUUGUUUAAAAUACACAAACCUUUGAGAGAUGCAGCAGUAAAAAUUUUCUGGUUAUGAUCAAAACUGAAAAUUCCUUAAUAUGCUCAUGCUCAGUACAUGAUCAUUCAGCAUUAUGUUUAAAGCCAAGACACUGUUUUACUCCUCUCUGGCCACAACUGAAGUAAAUUAUUUCUAUAAGAGGAAGCUUUCUUCUGGGCAUAGAAAUGUGCUUAGUCUCUUGGGUAGCGGUUUGUACAUCUGCAAAUGAAUACAGAUACCAAAUUCACAUUUUUUCCCUUUGCAUUCGUCUUUGGAAAUGCUUCUCCUUUCCAUGUAAGCCAUUUUAGACAGAUCUGUGGAGACCUUAAUUGAAGAUACAGAGCAUCAAGCAGACUGCAGUUACCAGAGGAAAUAUGGAUCUCCCAUGGCCAGUUCUUCAGUGACAGUCCAGAUCACACACUGUACAAAGUUGCAGCUGUGGAGAGGGGCUGGAGAGUACAGAGCUCUGCAGUCAGCUCUGGACCCCUGUCUCUCUUUGGGGCUGGGUACAAAUGGGUAAGCAGCAUGACUGUCUCUGCUCUGGCCUUGCCAAGCUGGUGUAAUUAUUGCUGGGAGCUGUUAACCAGGUUAAGUUCCAGUUUAAACUGAAUCAACUUUUGUAACCAAGUAGUAAAAAACUGGCAGUUGACCAAUACAGCUAGAGUUAGAUUGGUUACUUAACAUUCAAUUUUUCUCUUCACUUAACAUUUGUAGCAAUGUAGGAGAUGCUGGUGAACUGGGACCGUGGUGAUGUUGAUUUGGAUUGGAGUUUGGAGCAGGUAAUAUGUUUUGUAUAGCUGAAUGUUUGUAGUAUCAAAAACUUCCUUAAUGAUGUUUGUUUCCUUUCCAGAAAUUCUGCUUGAGUUUCUGUUACUGUAGAUUGGGAGAUCUAUCAAAAAAAUACUGAUGUGAGUUACACAGUGUUUGCAGAGGAGCACAUCAAGAUUUCACAGAGAAGCAAUGAUCUUUCCUCAUAACCAGUCAGUAGUAGAGCACCUGCUUUUCUUGGAAGAAAUUUCAGCACACGGCUGUUGCAAAUAGCAUUUUGUCAGAUUGGGCACAAGUCUACAGAUUCUGAUUUGGCAAUACUCACCAAGGUCUCCACCUGGAGAAACCAGGUCAAGAGUCUGCUCCUUGGAGUUGCCUGUAUAAAAACACUGGCCAAAAGAAAGGCUCUUUAACAUCCUGCUGUGAAAUAAAAGGCCGUUGGAAGCCUUUCUAAGGGCAGAAUAAACAAUCAGAGUCCUAAAGAAAAUAGGAUUGAGGAAAACAGCAUAUAGACCACU